rnacentral:rRNA from 1 species
AUUGAACGCUGGCGGCAGGCUUAACACAUGCAAGUCGAGCGGAGCGAGGGUGCUUGCACCUUAGCUUAGCGGCGGACGGGUGAGUAAUGCUUAGGAAUCUGCCUAUUAGUGGGGGACAACAUUCCGAAAGGGAUGCUAAUACCGCAUACGCCCUACGGGGGAAAGCAGGGGAUCUUCGGACCUUGCGCUAAUAGAUGAGCCUAAGUCGGAUUAGCUAGUUGGUGGGGUAAAGGCCUACCAAGGCGACGAUCUGUAGCGGGUCUGAGAGGCUGAUCGGCCACGCUGGGACUGAGACACGGUCCAGACUCCUACGGGAGGCAGCGGUGGGGAAUAUUGGACAAUGGGCGGAAGCCUGAUCCAGCCAUGCCGCGUGUGUGAAGAAGGCCUUUUGGUUGUAAAGUACUUUAAGCGAGGAGGAGGCUACUAGUAUUAAUACUACUGGAUAGUGGACGUUACUCGCAGAAUAAGCACCGGCUAACCCUGUGCCAGCCGCCGCAGUAA